CUUAUCAAGAGUGACGGAGGGUUCAGGCCCUGUGAAGUCCGGCAACCUGCUUGUUAUCAUCACGGCAAGGUGCCAAUUCCUGCGGCGAAAGCCGAGAGAUGAGG
rnacentral:ncRNA from 1 species